CCUACGGGCGGCAGCAGUGGGGAAUAUUGGACAAUGGGGGCAACCCUGAUCCAGCCAUGCCGCGUGUGUGAAGAAGGCCCUCGGGUUGUAAAGCACUUUCAGUGAGGAAGAACGCCUGGUGGUUAAUACCCAUCAGGAAAGACAUCACUCACAGAAGAAGCACCGGCUAACUCCGUGCCAGCAGCCGCGGUAAUACGGAGGGUGCGAGCGUUAAUCGGAAUUACUGGGCGUAAAGCGCGCGUAGGUGGCUUGAUAAGCCGGUUGUGAAAGCCCCGGGCUCAACCUGGGAACGGCAUCCGGAACUGUCAAGCUAGAGUGCAGGGGAGGAAGGUAGAAUUCCCGGUGUAGCGGUGAAAUGCGUAGAGAUCGGGAGGAAUACCAGUGGCGAAGGCGGCCUUCUGGACUGACACUGACACUGAGGUGCGAAAGCGUGGGUAGCAAACAGGAUUAGAUACCCGGGUAGUC
rnacentral:rRNA from 1 species